rnacentral:rRNA from 1 species
CACGUAGGGCGCAAGCGUUGUCCGGAAUUAUUGGGCGUAAAGAGCUCGUAGGCGGUCUGUUGCGUCCGCUGUGAAAACUCGGAGCUUAACCCCGAGCCUGCAGUGGAUACGGGCAGACUAGAGGUAGGUAGGGGAGAAUGGAAUUCCCGGUGUAGCGGUGAAAUGCGCAGAUAUCGGGAGGAACACCGGUGGCGAAGGCGGUUCUCUGGGCCGAUACUGACACUGAGGAGCGAAAGCGUGGGGAGCGAACAGG